GUGCAUUGUUAAAAGUAGUCGUCAAAGUGUUGAACUAGAAGCUAAUAAAAAAUUGAUACCUUCUAGGUUAUCACUUCUCAGCUUACAGUAAUGGCACACUGCCAAUGUGUGUAGUUGCAUGUAGAGGUCAUUCAUGGUCCUGUUAAAGCACAAACCAAGCCCCACGAGUACUUUUUGGAGGCCAGCUUUCACACAUUCUGUGAAACCACUCUUUACAUCCCGUACACUCUAUGGUGUGCCAAGCCUGUGUUCUUGUGGAAUUCAGUGGCUGAUAAUCUAUUCUUUGACAACUGCAGGAAUGCUGACAUAACUUUACUUAACAGGCAUUUUUUCAAAUGUUGCCUCAUGAAGCCCCUGUUAUAGAGGGACUGUGAUGGAUCUUCGCCCCAUGCUAGAGUUAUGGCAUUUGCAAUCGCAUGAAGGCCACAAUCAUUCGGCAAUUGCUGCUGACAUCUAAC